rnacentral:rRNA from 1 species
UACGGUGAAUACGUUCCCGGACCUUGCACACACCGCCCGUCAAGCCAUGGAAGCCGGGUGUACCUAAAGUCGGUAACCGCAAGGAACCGCCUAGGGUAAAACUGGUGACUGGGGCU